GUAUUUUGAAGGAUUUUUUCAGAGUAACUGUUUCCCUCACUAGAAAUGCUUUUCCUUUCAUGGCUAUUUAUUUUAGUUAUUUCUUCCUGGUGUGAUAUUUGUAAAUCACUGUACAAAAUGCCCUAUGAUUAGUGUAAUUGUUACAUGGAGAUAUUUUUCUAUUCUUUUAUUUUCAUUCAUAAUUGGGGGACAUUGUUGGGUUUUUCUUCAAGCAUUUAUCUACCUCACUCUUUAUAAUCUAUGUAUGUGUUUCUGACUACAUCUCUUCUGUCCCUCACGGAUCUGGAAAGACAAUAUUACUGUUCUGUCUGAUGGGCUACUCACCACAUGUUUUCUGUAGUGAUAGUUCGAGUUAGUGGUAUAGUACUAGUUAGUGGACAAGGGAGGUGCAAAGCCCAAGGCAUUACAACUGACCAGAUAUCCAGAAGAUUUGGCCUCAGACCAGAGCUAUGCAAUGUCAUUCAUGCUGAAUUUGAAUGGUACAUCUUUUGAUGUUUAAAUUGUAAAGAAAAAAUUUAGUAGAGAUUUGGUUCAAGUUAUUCUUAUUAGUUUAUGUCCGCCUGUGUCCUCUCCUUCGCACAUAUUGAUCCCCAUUCCCCUCAGCCAACCAUACUGAUCCCCAUUCCCCACAGCCGCACACACUGAUCCCCAUUCCCCUCAGCCAACCAUACUGAUCCCCAUUCCCCACAGCCGCACACACUGAUCCCCAUUCCCCUCAGCCAACCAUACUGAUCCCCAUUCCCCACAGCCGCACACACUGAUCCCCAUUCCCCUCAGCCAACCAUACUGAUCCCCAUUCCCCACAGCCGCACACACUGAUCCCCAUUCCCCUCAGCCAACCAUACUGAUCCCCAUUCCCCUCAGCCGCACAUACUGAUCCCCAUUCCCCUCAGCCAACCAUACUGAUCCCCAUUCCCCUCAGCCAACCAUACUGAUCCCCAUUCCCCUCAGCCAACCAUACUGAUCCCCAUUCCCCUCAGCCGCACACACACUGAUCCCCAUUCCCCUCAGCCGCACACACACUGAUCCCCAUUCCCCUCAGCCAACCAUACUGAUCCCCAUUGCCCUCAGCCGCGCACACUGAUCCCCAUUGCCCUCAGCCGCGCACACUGAUCCCCAUUGCCCUCAGCCGCGCACACUGAUCCCCAUUGCCCUCAGCCGCGCACACUGAUCCCCAUUGCCCUCAGCCGCGCACACUGAUCCCCAUUGCCCUCAGCCGCGCACACUGAUCCCCAUUGCCCUCAGCCGCGCACACUGAUCCCCAUUGCCCUCAGCCACGCACACUGAUCCCCAUUGCCCUCAGCCGCGCACACUGAUCCCCAUUGCCCUCAGCCGCGCACACUGAUCCCCAUUGCCCUCAGCCAACCAUACUGAUCCCCAUUGCCCUCAGCCAACCAUACUGAUCCCCAUUGCCCUCAGCCAACCAUACUGAUCCCCAUUGCCCUCAGCCACACACACUGAUCCCCAUUGCCCUCAGCCAACCAUACUGAUCCCCAUUGCCCUCUGCCGCACACGCUGUUCCCCAUUCCCCUCAGCCAACCAUACUGAUCCCCAUUGCCCUCAGCCGCACACACUGAUCCCCAUUGCCCUCAGCCGCACACACUGAUCCCCAUUGCCCUCAGCCGCACACACUGAUCCCCUUUCCCCUCAGCCAUCCAUGGUUCCUCGGUCAGAUCGUACUGCUGGCUGCCCCGGGGGGGGGGGGGUUGUUGGUUAAACUGUGUGGAUAUUGUUGGUACUGUUGUCAAUAUAUAGAUGGAUUCAGAAGAAGAAAAAAAAAUACACUGUGGAUGAUUGAAUGGAAGAAGCUGAAUCCCAAAUGGUACCCUAUUUUCUUAUGAAGUGCACUACAUUUGACCACACGGCCCAUUCGGGACAUACCGGAUGGGAUGUUGAGCUUGGUACGUUCCAGUGUUGUUAGGGGGGUUCCAGUGUUUCACACUGACCAGGAUGUUAGUAGCCAUGGCUUUGGGGAACCACACCACUGAUGGCUCUAGAACAGCACACGGUUUCCGAAAAUACUGCACCUUUGCCAGAAAGGAUGGUCUAUGUGGGGGAUAGGGUUCCAUUUGGGCAAUUCCACUGUUUCUGUCAAUGGAAAGUUAUUCACUGCAGUCUUAUCAGAAGGUGAUCCAAGCUCUGCCAAGGUGCUCAAAUGUAAUCAUUUUGUAUUCAAUGAUUGGUGACUAAAGUAAUAAAAAAAAAAAUUGCAUUCUGAACUCACUCGUCCAUGGAGAUUGAAGGGAUCUGAUAGCUUGAAGCAGAAGGUUUUGGGGUUUUUUUUAUUGGUUGAAAUGCAGUUGACAGUGCCUCUUGUUGAUUGGCCUCUUGCACCAGAUCGAAACGAUUCCACACCCAUUGCUUGUGUCCCAAAUGGCACCAUAAACCCUAUGUAGUGCACGUUUGACCAUCGUCCAUAAGGCUUUAGUAAAAUGUAGGGUGCUAGGAAAGACUUGGUACAGUUGCUGUUUAGUAAGAGAAGGACGCAGCCAUUUUGGAUUCAUUCAUUAUAAUCAGCACAUUAUUACGGAAGCCCCAAACCUCAAAGAAAUGGAGGCAAUUGAGCGGCACUAUGUUAUCAUUCUAAACAACACUGUUCUGUCGUUACAACUACAUGAAAAGUUGACUGACUUUGUCAGAACAUUUGGCUUGUCGGUCAGCGUGUGGCGGUGUUUUGUUGUUUUGUUCGUUUGUCUACAGUUAUAUAUGAUGAUGGCAAAGUAUUUCUGCCCCAUGGUGUUGGACAGCAACUGUUGGUGCGUUUGCUUCCAUGCUCCAGGUUCAGUGUUGGGAAUCAUGAACAUGGACCACUCAACCUCUUCACAGUGGAGCUCCCCCAUGUACCAUCUUGUGUUUUUACUGUUUCACCUUUUUAAAUCGCAGAACAAACAAUGACAGUCUUCACCAACC
ensembl:lncRNA